rnacentral:rRNA from 1 species
GUGUUGGACAAACCUCUAGUGUACCUGUUGUGGCGCCAGCUGCAUCGCAGGGUAGCUACGUUUGGACGAGAUAAGCACUGAAAGCAUCUAAGUGCGAAGCUUCCCUCAAGAUGAAUUUUCCUUUAAGGGUCGUUAAAGACUAUGACGUUGAUAGGCCAUAGGUGUAAAGGCAGUAAUGUCAAAGCCGAGUGGUACUAAUUACCCGUAAGCUUCUCUU